rnacentral:rRNA from 1 species
AGACCGAUAGCGAACAAGUAGAGUGAUCGAAAGGUUAAAAGCACCUUGAAAAGGGAGUUAAACAGCACGUGAAAUUGUUGAAAGGGAAGCGCUUGCGGCCAGACUCGAGCGCAGGGUUCAGCGGGUGCGUGUCACCCGUGCACUCCCUGUCGCCCGGGCCAGCAUCAGUUCUAACGGCCGGUCAAAGGCCCCCGGAAUGUGUCGUCUCUCGGGACGUCUUAUAGCCGGGGGUGCAAUGCGGCCCGUCGGGACUGAGGAACGCGCUUCGGCUCGGAUGCUGGCAUAAUGGCCGUAAGCGGCCCGUCUUGAAACACGGACCAAG